rnacentral:rRNA from 1 species
ACGGGAGGCAGCAGUGGGGAAUAUUGCACAAUGGGGGAAACCCUGAUGCAGCGACGCCGCGUGAGUGAAGAAGUAUUUCGGUAUGUAAGGCUCUAUCAGUAGGGAAGAAAAUGACGGUACCUAACUAAGAAGCCCCGGCUAACUACGUGCCAGCAGCCGCGGUAAUACGUAGGGGGCAAGCGUUAUCCGGAUUUACUGGGUGUAAAGGGAGCGUAGACGGCAAAGCAAGUCUGAUGUGAAAUGCGGGGGCUCAACCCCUGAACUGCAUUGGAAACUGUUUAGCUAGAGUGCAGGAGAGGUAAGUGGAAUUCCUAGUGUAGCGGUGAAAUGCGUAGAUAUUAGGAGGAACACCGGUGGCGAAGGCGGCUUACUGGACUGUAACUGACGUUGAGGCUCGAAAGCGUGGGGAGCAAACAGGAUUAGAUACCCUGGUA